GACGAACGCUGGCGGCGUGCUUAACACAUGCAAGUCGAACGGAAAGGCCCUGCUCUUGUGGGGUGCUCGAGUGGCGAACGGGUGAGUAACACGUGAGUAACCUGCCCUUGACUUUGGGAUAACUUCAGGAAACUGGGGCUAAUACCGGAUAGGAGCUCCUGCUGCAUGGUGGGGGGUGGAAAGUUUCGGCGGUUGGGGAUGGACUCGCGGCUUAUCAGCUUGUUGGUGGGGUAGUGGCUUACCAAGGCCUUGACGGGUAGCCGGCCUGAGAGGGUGACCGGCCACAUUGGGACUGAGAUACGGCCCAGACUCCUACGGGAGGCAGCAGUGGGGAAUAUUGCACAAUGGGCGGAAGCCUGAUGCAGCGACGCCGCGUGCGGGAUGACGGCCUUCGGGUUGUAAACCGCUUUCGCCUGUGACGAAGCGUGAGUGACGGUAAUUGGUAAAGAAGCACCGGCUAACUACGUG
rnacentral:rRNA from 1 species